GUUCAGCUUUGUGGGCUAUCCCUACACUCUUUAUUUGCAUUUUGGGUUUGGAGCACAUGUAAAAGUUUCUGCUUGCUUGAAGGUGGCUCAGGAUCUCACUAACUGAACGAGCAGUGCAACUGUAGAGAGAACUUUACGUGAAGGCAAAGUACAAAACCCUAACAAAGAACUGGACAGGAGCUGGUCUGCUGAGAAACUGGUGAGGUGUUUCCAGCCUGUGUGCCAGGAGUGCAGAACUCAGUUUGCUACAACUCUCACCUCAAUGGUAGAAGCUUCACUUACAAAUGCUGUGCUACAGAGGAAGACUGCUCUUGCCACAUCCACCUGUCAAUACAUGUGUCCUGGAAAGCCAGACUCAGUUCUGAACGCUGUGGAAGCGCAGAUUAAAUGUGCAGCACUUAGAAUUGCUGGAUUUCGUGUGUGAAGGAACAGUCUGGCACACAGUUGAAUUCCUGGUGGGGUAUCGCUAGUGUGAAGUCUCUGCUCCUGGCUGAACAGGCACAGUGGCUUCGUCUGUCCUGUUAGAAGCCGUUCAUCACUUUAAUAUGUGAAUCUGAAGAUUCCAUUAGAAUCAUCAGAUUUUGCCAGUACUUCACAAUGAAGAGCUGCAAACUCGCCGAGUGCCUCUGAUGGGUCAUAUGAGGCUUUGACACUUGUGCUGCUACUUUGGCCUUGGAGACUUCUGACACAGCCCACUUUCCUGAGCAGAGACCUGUUUGCAGGGCCUUGGCAGGGUUUGAAAGGCAUUGCUUCUGCUCCUGUGUUGCAGGUUCAGCCUGGGUUUCAAGAGGAUGCAAGAGGCUUCAAGAGGCUUCGUGGUUUCCUGAAGGGAAAGUGACAGGUGCCACAUUUCUUUGUGCAAGUCUGUAACUGUGUCAUGGCAUUCCAGUACUUACCCCAAGAUGAGUGAUGAUUGUACUAAUUAAGAACUGAAGUGGAAGGAUAUGAGAAGGAUGCAGUAUGGGGUGUUUUCUAAUAAAACUGAACUACUUUGGCAGCAGCUGAUGCUGCUUUUCUCACGGCAGCCUUUAUUUCCCUUGUAAAACCUAGAACAUUCUUUCAAAACCAGCUCUGGUGCUGGGAGGAGCACUUGAAGUUAAGGCUUGCUCUGCACUGCAUUUUGCUCUCUGUAUCCUGCAGAAAUAGAAGCUUGGGCUUUCUAGACUCCUGUCCUUUGUUCCUCUGUGGUUUGCUGCAUGCUUUUGAAUCUGUUACCUUGUUGUAACUGUAUUUACUGGGCGUCAGAGUGCACUGUUACAGCAUCUUAUGCACAUGCAUGUAAAGAAGUAGGGGAACAUCAGCUGCACUCAACAGCUGCUUGGAUCUCUACUCUCUGCAGACUGGCAUUAAGUGACCACAUUUUCCUGCAUGUGUCAGACUGUGUACGGGUCUUCUGCUCCAGUUUUAGCCAUAAAGAAAAGCUUAUCUACAGGAACACAUGAGCCCUGUUGCUGCUGGGUGGUUGGCAGCAGCAUUCCUGAACCUCAGUGCUGCAGUUUUUCUUACAGUGGUGACACCUCUUAUUUAUUCCAAGAAACUAUUUAUUCACCUCUGCAACAGAGCUACAGCUGUGCUGUUACACCCCAGGUGUACUUUGCUCAUAUUUACAUAACCCAUCAUUAACUCAUCUACUGAAUGAACCCUGAUUUGAACAUUGAGCACCAUGCAGCUCACCUCCUCCUCCUACUAGGAGUUGAAUGGAGGUGUUUAUUAGUCCUAUCUUGCUUGUCCUCCUAGAAGUAACUCAUUCUGAAGAGCUUCCUCAGGGAUGGUUUUGGAGCCUGCAUCAUUUAUUCUUUUGCCACUGUUUCCCAUGCAAAUUUGCAGUAUUUUUAGGAAGUCCAAGCUGAAUUGAUUCCCCCAGGUUUGCCAACAGAUCAGUAAUUGCUUUGGGGGAGGGUUGCUAUUCACGGGGUCAGAAAACAUUCCUCUGUUUUAAGUGAAGGAAUAUAAAAUUAACGAGGCUGCACCCACUGGGAAAGUGACAUGCCUGUUUGUUUUAUUAACAGCAGACACAGUUUUAUUAGAAAAAAUCAAAGUGGAAAAAGAUCUGCUGGGACAAACACACAAGCGUGACUCGAACAAGGUCAAAUCUCUUAUUAUUCUGGUCUGAUCACAGCAGAGCUGAAAGUGAGCUGUGCUGUUGGGAUUCACACCUGAUCCAUUGGUUAGUCUGAUGUUCAGCAUUCUCCUCAUCCUGUCCCAACUUAUCAGCAGUGUUUGUUUUGUUCCACUGGCUGAUCCUAUACUAACACUUGGCUGCAGUUGUCUGGCUGUUAAAACCUUGAUGCUUGCUGGCAGGAAAUGCUUACUGUGAUUCUUCUCUUAAACAAGAGAUCGUGGAGGACUGGGGCCCUUGAAACUUUCUCAGGGAGAAGCCAAGCAAUUCUUUCAGAGCACAGUGUGCAAACAGAACAAUUUUGCCUUCUUUAUGGAGAAAUAGUAGGAUCUUCCUGUACUGCUUUUCCAGAACGCUUUCUGUGCUGCCUGUAGGCAUUGCUUUAGCCCACAGUGGAGCUGCAGCCAACCCUGCUUUUGUUACUGUGUGCACAUUAUUUUCUCUCUUUGACAAGCUCUCUCCACAUUUGCAGUGCUUCCUUUGGCCAAUUUCAGCAGUAGGUUGGUGGGUAGCAAGUUCUGGUCUCUGCUUUUAUUUUUCUGAAGUUGGGUUUGAUUCGCUGAGCUAACAAAGCAGUAGCACCAGGUCAACAUCAGUGAUUACACUUUUAUUGUCAUAGCAAUGAUCAAAACAUAUCUGUUAACCCAUCCGCCCCAUGCACUUCCCAGACCCUGUUUAAUACUGCAGUAGUGAAAACUUCAGAAGGUGACAUCAGCUUUUCAAGGUGGUUUUGGAUCUCCUUUUUGGUACCAAAUCUGCAGUGAUGGUCAUCUGCCUUUGGAGGUGGAAGGCAGCAAGGGCACUGUGGGAAUUGAAGGGUUGUGGGCAGUGGGAUUAAAUAGGCCUUUAGCCUUCCUAGCCCUCUCUUGCUAAGGGCAGUGCAACCAAAUAUGAGGUUGAAUGAAAUUUCUGUUAAUUGUGAUGCAAUUAUGUAAUUUAACAAACGAUGCCUGAAGUCUCUCAGAGUGCAGCUAUCUAAGAAGGCCCAGACGGCUUCACAACUGGUGAUGAAGCAGGCUUUAUGAAAUUUUGGAAGCCCUGUGAUGAUGUCCAGGAGCAGAACUGGACUGUUUCAUAACUGUCUGCAUGCCAGAGAAAAUGGGAAGCCAUGUGAGAGUGAUACAAGGGAAGGGUUGGUCUGUUCUGACCCAGCCCUUGUCAUGGGCAC